GGCCCACACUUUGCUCAGUUUGAUUAUACUGAGGCAGCCAGAAAAUUCAGGGCCAUUAAAAACAGAAGGAAAUAGACACAAGUUAAUGCACAAAAUUUAAUGUUAAACCAACAAGUGUGCCACUUUAGUGUUACUAGCAAUAAACAUUUUGUGUUAGUGUUCACAGUUGUUCAUCAAGUUUAUAUAGUUCUUUAAACUGUUAGCAUUUUCUGUGUCCUGUAUGAACAAAUGUUCAUGAUAAAAACCGUAAACUCUAAAAAUAUUCUGAUGAGAAAUUGUUGCUUUAAUUUAAAAAGUAUUUUUGUGUUCAACAGUCAGUGUAUUUCCAUUUUAAUUUUAAUGCUUAGAAAUACAACAUACAUGCAUAAUAAAAUUCUAUUUAUGCAUCAAAGUAUUAGAUAAAGCUAAAUGUUAUUUUUGUUAACUUUAGUCUGUAUUACACAUUGUAUAAUGGAUAAUGAAUUUUUUUUUUCAAGUAUUAUAUGAAAUUCUAGUCAAGGUGUGUUUUAUUUUUAUUUUUUUAAGUAACAAUUAACUAGUUUUAGCCAUAUCUGAUUAAACUUUGUAAUUUCUUCGUACCUUUGUUGUGUUUAUCAGAACUGGAUAACAUGCAUUUAUGAAGUUAAAUAAGGUGUUAUUUAUUGUAAAACAUAGUCAAUAUUGUAGUCACAAAACAUGGGACUCAAUCAUAUUUGGCUGGGACUCAACAUUCUUGAGAGUACUGAGUCCCAGGGACUCAGUGAAAUUUUCAGAAAACGCGAACACUGAUGUACCUAUUUGUGUUAUAGCCUCGCCAAGAACAGCAACAGACCUGGCAAAGGAACAAAAAAUUCUAGAAGAAAAUAUUGGCUGUCUGGAGAAAUAUUUGGAUAUCCUGACGAAGUAUACACCAACUGCAGAGGAGGAGGCAGACUGGCGGGAGGAUAUCCAGAACUUAACAGACAACAUUCUCAAUAACAGGGACACCUUGAAGAUUUUUUAUAGAGAAGUAAAAGAGAUAGCACACAAAGAUGCCACUUUCCGGGGCAGAGAGGUCCAGAACAUACAGGGAAAAGAUGAAGCAGAACCCAGCAAAAUACCAAGAGUACCUAGAAAAUGAAAGAAAGAGAUAUGCUCAAAAGAAGGCGGACGGACAGGUAAAGUUGGUGGCCGACAUAUCGGAAAGAGAGCGCCGUCGGCGUCGAAAGUAUUGGCGUGAAAUGAAGAAAAAACAACCUACAGUGUCACCAGGACCUUCAGUAGAGCUAGCCUCAAGUUCAAGUCUUACAGAAAAGAAGAAAAUGGGAAGGAAACGGGUCAAACGUGAACGAUCAAAGACAUAUAGAAAGAUGCAGAAAUUAGAGCAAGAACUGAAAGUUCAGAAGAAAAUCAACGAAAAACUAAGAAAAAGGUUAUAUAGGGCUAAAGAAAAAACUUUGACCAAAAUUCACCAAGAAUGAAAGUAAAAAUGAUAUUCAAAGGGCCAAAUAGUGCUGAAAAGGCUAGAAAGAUGCUGCUGUUUCAUAAUGUACUACUUGAGAGCAUUAAGAAGAAAUACAGGUUAAACAGGAGUGAAAAGUCAAAGCAAGUAAUCACAAAAGCUGUGCUGUGCAACCGACUGCUAAAGAAAUAUCGUUUGCAGAAGUAUGCCAGAGAGACCUUGGAAAUCACACACAGGAGAAUAAAGGUUGCUGAUCACAAUAUAUCUUUCAUGCGAAAAACGCAGAAAAACGCCCUCGUAGCAAACAUGAAACAGUCUGUUUCUGAGUUUCUGAAUAGAGACGAUAAUAGCAGGGUUAAAGCAGGUAAACGGUCCACAAAAACUCAACAUAAAGUGAAGAAACAAAUACGUUUGUUAAAUGACACUAUGAAAGAUUUGCAUAUGAAAUUCCUUGUAGAAGAAAAGAAAAGCAUGUCCUAUGCCAUGUUUUGCCGUCUCAGGCCAUUUAAUAUACGACCACCAACUGAAAAGGACAGGGAGACUUGCUUAUGUCGCAGACAUGAAAACUUGCAAAUGAAAUCAAGGCCACUUAAGGAAGAGCAUGUGUUGCAAACAGAAAACAUUUCUGAUAUAAUGAAAAAGUUGUGUGCGAUACAUCCAGUAAAGAUUGUAUGUAUCGCGUAUGCCCUCGUUGUAAAGAUAAGCGGCUAGAUCUCGUACAAGAAUCUGAUGAAAGCAAGAUGGUCAAUUUCUUUGAGUGGAAAACUAAACGUGUCGAGGUAAAAAUGUCCAAUGGUGAAACAAAGAUGACAUCAAUGACUGUCAAAGAAAAGGACACGCUUUCAUUGAAAGUUUUUAGUGUCGAGUUUGACAAGGAACUCAGAAACUGUUGUCAACUUGUGUAUAACAUUGAAAACCAAUAUAAAGCUAUCCGUGAAUUGAAAGAUAAGCUUACAACACAUGAUGUACUCAUACAUGUUGAUUUUUCGGAGAACCUUACGUGUAAGUACGAGUCCGAAAUACAGUCGGUACAUUUUGGCGCGUCUCAGAGACAACUGUCACUACACACAGGAGCCAUAUACACGGCAUCUCAAACUCAGCCCUUUUGCUCAGUAUCAGACAAUCUUUGUCAUAACCCAACGGGAAUAUGGGCACAUGUUCGACCUGUUCUUAAAAUGAUAAGAGGGCGAUGCCCUGAUAUAGUGAAUGUAUUCUUCUUGAGUGACGGCCCCACAACCCAGUAUAAAAACAAGGAAAACUUUUAUAUGAUGUCAUCAGUUCCAUUUGAGUUAGAAUUCAGGUCAGUAAAUUGGAGCUACACUGAAGCAGGUCAUGGAAAGGGCGCUCCUGACGGCGUGGGAGCCGUGGUCAAACGUGCAUCGGACCGACUUGUCAGUCAUGGAACGGAUGUCACGGGAGCACAGCAACUAUGUACACUGUUGAAUACCACCAACCUACACGUACAGAUGUUCUACAUACCAGACGAGGAGUUUUCGGUGUCUACAAACCACAAUCUACAUACUGUUAAAGAAACAUUGAAAAUACACCAGGUAUGAAUGUUUUCCUUGUUUCAAAAGAAACAUUAAUGUCUAUAUAUUAUACUCAAACUUGACGAAGUAUUGCUAAUUACAAGAGCAGUAUUAUGUAAUAUAAUAACCAUUAACUGCUCAUUAACUAAAUACCCCAUGGCCACGUGGUAACGCCCCUGUCUUGCAACCCUGAGGUCCCAAGAUCUAGCCACGGCUCGGCCUGUCGGCCACAUUAGUUAUGUAGUGAUUGGUCAUAAAAUUAUUUCUAUGCCAUUUGCUCCCUACCUCUGAUUCAAGUAUGGAAGUUGUCAGUUACUUGUGGAAGUAUGUGCACUAAGUACUGGUAAACCGUUCAGGUCGGCUGAUUCUGCACAGGAACAGUGUGAGCAGGUUAAUUGACCGCUGUGAUAUGACUGAUGUAAUGUUGAAAAAGCCUUAAAACCCAUUAAAACAAACAAACAACUAAAUACAUGUUAAUAGUAAUAGCAAUGUACAAAUUAUGUAUGCAUUUAUGUAAGCCAUUGUCGGGUCGUUUUUUCAUCUCUAUUGCAGGUGUUUUGGACAUCGAAGCACGUGAUCAGCUAUCGGGACGUAAGCUGCUUUUGCAAGGCGCCAAUGGCAUGCAACUGUUAUUCCCCAACGGUGAACAAAUUUUCAAUAGAUACCGAUUUCCUGCUUCCAUGCUCAAGUAUAGAGUCACAGAUGCUACAGCCCACGAUUGACCAGCCUCUGCCGCCCACAAGUGACAAGCCUCUGCCGCCCACGAGUGACCAGCCCCUGCAGCCCACAAAUGACUAGCCUCUGCCGCCAACAAGUGACCAGCUUCUGCCAUCCACAAGCGUCUUGUCAGAUAUCACAGUUGAUGACAGCCUUCUCCAUUAGUAUUGUGUGGUGAAGUACGAUAACGUGCCUUAUCCUGGGUUAAUCACGAACGUCGAGUCUAACGGUGACGGUCUUGAAGUCAGUGUAUUACAUAGUGUUGGUGACAACAGGUUCUUCUGGCCAAGGAUGGAGGAUGUGUGUGUUUAUGC
rnacentral:lncRNA from 1 species